rnacentral:rRNA from 1 species
GCAUGGGAGGGAUAGAAUGCUAGUCGUGCGCCUUCUAGCCACGCUGAAGGCGCGGCACACAGCUCAGUAACACGUGGCUAACCUGCCCUCGGGACGAGAACAUCCCCGGGAAACUGGGGUCAAUUCUCGAUAGGUGAAGAUUCCUGGAAUGGGUCUUCGCCCGAAAGGACGUUUAGGUCAUGCUUCUAGACGUUGCCCGAGGAUGGGGCCGCGGCCGAUCAGGCUGUUGGUGAGGUAAAGGCUCACCAAACCUUUGACCGGUUCGGGCCGUGGGAGCGGGAGCCCGGAGAUGGGCACUGAGACAAGGGCCCAGGCCCUACGGGGCGCAGCAGUCGCGAAAACUCCGCAAUACGCGAAGGCGUGACGGGGCUAUCCCGAGUGCCGUCCGCUGAGGAUGGCUUUUCCCCAGUGUAGAUAGCUGGGGGAAUAAGGAGAGGGCAAGUCUGGUGUCAGCCGCCGCGGUAAUACCAGCUCUCCGAGUGGUGGGGACGUUUAUUGGGCCUGAAGCAUCCGUAGCCAGCUGAGCAAGUCCCCAGUUAAAUCCAGCGAUUUAAUCGUUGGACUGCUGGGGAUACUGUCCGGCUAGGGGGUGGGAGAGGCCAACGGUAUUCCCGGGGUAGGGGUGAAAUCCUAUAAUCCCGGGAGGACCACCAGUGGCGAAGGCUGUUGGCUAGAACAUGCCCGACGGUGAGGGAUGAAAGCUGGGGGAGCGAACCGGAUUAGAUACCCGGGUAGUCCCAGCUGUAAACGAUGCAGGCUAGGUGUUAGGGCGGCCACGUGCCGCUCUAGUGCCGCAGGGAAACUGUUAAGCCUGCCGCCUGGGGAGUACGGCCGCAAGGCUGAAACUUAAAGGAAUUGGCGGGGGAGCACCACAAGGGGUGAAGCCUGCGGUUCAAUUGGAGUCAACGCCGGG